rnacentral:lncRNA from 1 species
GUCUUUGCAGUAUGCAUGUAAUCGAGAGUUCAAUGGAAGCCCAUCUGGUCGGGAUUAAACAUGACAAAGAAAGACGACA